GGACUGGGAUUUGAAUCCCACCACUCCCUGGCAUUUCCCAAGGGCCGCACACUUGCUCUCAGGGCCCUGGGCCUCCAGCUCUCCGUACCUGGCCCUGGUUGAUGGCAGCGUGCUGGGAAGUGCACGUGAAGACACACAUGAGACUUAGAGCCCCUCAGGUGCAAAAUGGAGAACAAAUGAGGUCCUGAGCUGGGCAAGGUGGCACAUGCCUACAACCCCAGGACUUGGGCGGUUGAGGCAGGAGGAGCAUGAGUUCAAGGCCAGCCUCCACCUCAUAGUAAGUCUGAGGCCCAGCUAAGCGAAAUGACCAUGUUUGAAAACAACAAAGUCCCAAGUUCACCUCACGCCAAUCACUUUACAGUGCUCAUGGUGCUCAUGGGAGCUUUGCGUUGAGCCGGUGCGUGUAUAAUUCCACCUGUUUCCUAGAUAAGAAAUGAAAGCCGGGAGAUUAAAGCACUUGUCAAGAUGGCCCGGUGUGGGGUGGCGGGGAGCAGAGGCUGGCUUUGAACUUGGGUUCCUGGCUGCUUUUCCAUUACUUUAAUUCCAGCAUGCUUCCUCCAAACUUAGGCAAAGAUGAGCUGUGAGAGCCGAGAGAGGAAGAGAGCCGAGAGAGGAAGGCCUGCAAAGCUGCUUGAGGAGGCUAGAUUAUGGUGUGACGGCUGUUUGUAUUCCCACUCCCAAGUUAGUAUUUUGAAAUUAUUCACCAGCGAGGACAUGAGGAGUCUUUGGGAGGAUAUGCGGUCAUGAGGGUGAGUGAUGGCGGUGUCCUUGGGAGAGAGGUCGUGGGCCCAUGAAAGUCACCCCUGUGCAACCUGGAAUAGUGACCCCUGGAACCCAAACGUGCUAGCACCUGACCUCAGACUUUGAACCUGCAGAGUGAUGAGAAAUAAACUUCUGGUGUUUAAGCCA